rnacentral:tRNA from 1 species
UAGACUGGGGCCCGGUGAAGGGCAUUUAAUUGUUAAUUAAAAGGCAUGGGGUAGAGGCCCAUCAGUUUAG